AGACUUUGACUGGAAGGGUGCGCUUGCCUUUAAGGAAUCAAGCAUGACUUGCAGAGCCAAUAAAAGCCGCUUGGGAAAACUGGCUUCAUACCUUGUCUACACUGUAUAGGAUUCCUAACCUGUGGUGGAUUUGGGGUGGACAAUGGCAUAUUUAUUUCGAUGUUGCUUCCUUUGAGAAAACCGCAGCCUGUGAGCCAAGAUUGUGCCAUUGCACUCCAGCCUGGGCAACAAGAACGAAACUCCAUCAAAGAAAGAAAGAAAGAGAGAAAGAGGGAGAGAGAGUGAGAGAGCGAGAGAGC